rnacentral:rRNA from 2 species
GAAGGUUUUCGGAUCGUAAAACUCUUGUUGUCAGGGAAGAACAAGUACCGGAGUAUCUGCCGGUACCUUGACGGUACCUGACCAGAAAGCCACGGCUAACUACGUGCCAGCAGCCGCGGUAAUACGUAGGUGGCAAGCGUUGUCCGGAAUUAUUGGGCGUAAAGCGCGCGCAGGCGGUUCCUUAAGUCUGAUGUGAAAGCCCCCGGCUCAACCGGGGAGGGUCAUUGGAAACUGGGGAACUUGAGUGCAGAAGAGAAGAGUGGAAUUCCACGUGUAGCGGUGAAAUGCGUAGAGAUGUGGAGGAACACCAGUGGCGAAGGCGACUCUCUGGUCUGUAACUGACGCUGAGGCGCGAAAGCGUGGGGAGCAAACAGGAUUAGAUACCCUGGUAGUCCACGCCGUAUACGAUGAGUGCUAAGU